CGCGGCCUAUCAGCUUGUUGGUAAGGUAAUGGCUUACCAAGGCUAUGACGGGUAACUGGUCUGAGAGGAUGAUCAGUCGCGAUGGGACUGAGACACGGCCCAUACUCCUACGGGAGGCAGCAGUAAGGAAUCUUCCACAAUGGACGAAAGUCUGAUGGAGCAACACCGCGUGGUUGAUGAAGCCCCUUGGGGCGUAAAAGCCUUUUCUGAGGGAAGAAUUCUGACGGUACCUCAGGAAUAAGCACCGGCUAACUCCGUGCCAGCAGCCGCGGUAAUACGGAGGGUGCAAGCGUUAUCCGGAAUCAUUGGGCGUAAAGCGUCCGCAGGCGGUUUGUUAAGUUAGGUGUUAAAUUUUGCAGCUCAACUGUAAAUCUAUACCUAAAACUGGCAAACUAGAGUACUACAGAGGUACGUGGAAUUCUGUGUGUAGGGGUAAAAUCCGUAGAUACACAGAGGAACACCAUAAGCGAAGGCAGCGUACUGGGUAGUUACUGACGCUCAGGGACGAAAGCGUGGGUAGCGAACGGGAUUAGAUACCCCGGUAGUCCACGCCGUAAACGAUGGAUACUAGGUGUUGGAGGACUCGACCCCUUCAGUGCCGACGCUAACGCAUUAAGUAUCCCGCCUGGGGAGUACGGA
rnacentral:rRNA from 1 species